ACUCAAAUGAAUUGACGGGGGCCCGCACAAGCGGUGGAGCAUGUGGUUUAAUUCGACGCAACGCGAAGAACCUUACCUGGGCUCGAAAUGUAGUGGAAUCCGGUGGAAACAUCGGCGCCCAGCAAUGGGCCGCUAUAUAGGUGCUGCAUGGCUGUCGUCAGCUCGUGUCGUGAGAUGUUGGGUUAAGUCCCGCAACGAGCGCAACCCUUGUUACCAGUUGCUACCAUUUAGUUGAGCACUCUGGUGAGACCGCCUCGGAUAACGGGGAGGAAGGCGGGGAUGACGUCAAGUCCUCAUGGCCUUUAUGUCCAGGGCUACACACGUGCUACAAUGGCCGGUACAAACCGUCGCAAACCCGUGAGGGGGAGCUAAUCGGAAAAAGCCGGCCUCAGUUCGGAUUGGAGUCUGCAACUCGACUCCAUGAAGCUGGAAUCGCUAGUAAUCGCGGAUCAGAAUGCCGCGGUGAAUACGUUCCCGGGCCUUGUACACACCGCCCGU
rnacentral:rRNA from 1 species